rnacentral:rRNA from 2 species
CCGCACGUGCGCAUGCCUAUACAUGCAGUCGAACGAACUCUGGUAUUGAUUGGUGCUUGCAUCAUGAUUUACAUUUGAGUGAGUGGCGAACUGGUGAGUAACACGUGGGAAACCUGCCCAGAAGCGGGGGAUAACACCUGGAAACAGAUGCUAAUACCGCAUAACAACUUGGACCGCAUGGUCCGAGUUUGAAAGAUGGCUUCGGCUAUCACUUUUGGAUGGUCCCGCGGCGUAUUAGCUAGAUGGUGGGGUAACGGCUCACCAUGGCAAUGAUACGUAGCCGACCUGAGAGGGUAAUCGGCCACAUUGGGACUGAGACACGGCCCAAACUCCUACGGGAGGCAGCAGUAGGGAAUCUUCCACAAUGGACGAAAGUCUGAUGGAGCAACGCCGCGUGAGUGAAGAAGGGUUUCGGCUCGUAAAACUCUGUUGUUAAAGAAGAACAUAUCUGAGAGUAACUGUUCAGGUAUUGACGGUAUUUAACCAGAAAGCCACGGCUAACUACGUGCCAGCAGCCGCGGUAAUACGUAGGUGGCAAGCGUUGUCCGGAUUUAUUGGGCGUAAAGCGAGCGCAGGCGGUUUUUUAAGUCUGAUGUGAAAGCCUUCGGCUCAACCGAAGAAGUGCAUCGGAAACUGGGAAACUUGAGUGCAGAAGAGGACAGUGGAACUCCAUGUGUAGCGGUGAAAUGCGUAGAUAUAUGGAAGAACACCAGUGGCGAAGGCGGCUGUCUGGUCUGUAACUGACGCUGAGGCUCGAAAGUAUGGGUAGCAAACAGGAUUAGAUACCCUGGUAGUCCAUACCGUAAACGAUGAAUGCUAAGUGUUGGAGGGUUUCCGCCCUUCAGUGCUGCAGCUAACGCAUUAAGCAUUCCGCCUGGGGAGUACGGCCGCAAGGCUGAAACUCAAAGGAAUUGACGGGGGCCCGCACAAGCGGUGGAGCAUGUGGUUUAAUUCGAAGCUACGCGAAGAACCUUACCAGGUCUUGACAUACUAUGCAAAUCUAAGAGAUUAGACGUUCCCUUCGGGGACAUGGAUACAGGUGGUGCAUGGUUGUCGUCAGCUCGUGUCGUGAGAUGUUGGGUUAAGUCCCGCAACGAGCGCAACCCUUAUUAUCAGUUGCCAGCAUUAAGUUGGGCACUCUGGGUGAGACUGCCGGUGACAAACCGGAGGAAAGGUGGGGGAUGACGUCAAAUCAUCAUGCCCCUUAUGACCUGGGCUACACC